UACGUAGGUGGCGAGCGUUGUCCGGAAUUACUGGGUGUAAAGGGAGCGCAGGCGGGAGAUCAAGUUGGAUGUGAAAUACCGCAGCUCAACUGCGGGGCUGCAUCCAAAACUGAUUUUCUUGAGUGGAGUAGAGGUAGGCGGAAUUCCUAGUGUAGCGGUGAAAUGCGUAGAUAUUAGGAGGAACACCAGUGGCGAAGGCGGCCUACUGGGCUUUAACUGACGCUGAGGCUCGAAAGCGUGGGGAGCAAACAGG
rnacentral:rRNA from 1 species